UACGAAGGGGGCUAGCGUUGCUCGGAAUUACUGGGCGUAAAGCGCGCGUAGGCGGCUUUGUAAGUUAGAGGUGAAAGCCUGGAGCUCAACUUCAGAAUUGCCUUUAAGACUGCAUCGCUUGAAUCCGGGAGAGGUGAGUGGAAUUCCGAGUGUAGAGGUGAAAUUCGUAGAUAUUCGCAAGAACACCAGUGGCGAAGGCGGCUCACUGGCCCGGUACUGACGCUGAGGUGCGAAAGCGUGGGGAGCAAACAGG
rnacentral:rRNA from 1 species